GAUGAACGCUGGCGGCGUGCCUAAUACAUGCAAGUCGAGCGAAUAGACGAGGAGCUUGCUCCUCUGACGUUAGCGGCGGACGGGUGAGUAACACGUGGAUAACCUACCUAUAAGACUGGGAUAACUUCGGGAAACCGGAGCUAAUACCGGAUAAUAUAUUGAACCGCAUGGUUCAAUAGUGAAAGACGGUUUUGCUGUCACUUAUAGAUGGAUCCGCGCCGCAUUAGCUAGUUGGUAAGGUAACGGCUUACCAAGGCAACGAUGCGUAGCCGACCUGAGAGGGUGAUCCGCCACACUGGAACUGAGACACGGUCCAGACUCCUACGGGAGGCAGCAGUAGGGAAUCUUCCGCAAUGGGCGAAAGCCUGACGGAGCAACGCCGCGUGAGUGAUGAAGGUCUUCGGAUCGUAAAACUCUGUUAUUAGGGAAGAACAAAUGUGUAAGUAACUAUGCACGUCUUGACGGUACCUAAUCAGAAAGCCACGGCUAACUACGUG
rnacentral:rRNA from 1 species